rnacentral:misc_RNA from 1 species
GAAAUGCGAUAAGUAAUGUGAAUUGCAGAAUUCAGUGAAUCAUCGAAUCUUUGAACGCACAUUGCGCCCGCCAGCACUCUGGCGGGCAUGCCUGUUCGAGCGUCAUUUCAACCCUCAGAACCCCUUGCGGGAUCUGGCGUUGGGGAUUGGCAUCCAGCCAGCCCCGAAAUCUAGUGGCGGUCCCUCCGCGACCUCCCCUGUGCAGUAGCGAUACCUCGCAGCGGGACAGCGGUCUGACCACGCCGUAAAACCCCCAACUUCUCAAGGUUGACCUCGAAUCAGGUAGGAAUACCCGCUAAACUUAAGC